rnacentral:tRNA from 1 species
GAGGUCCUAGCUUAAUGAAAGCGUCUGGGUUGCAUUCAGGAGAUGUGGGUUAAUGUCCUACGGAUCUUA